GACGUAGGGCGCGAGCGUUGUCCGGAUUUAUUGGGCGUAAAGAGCUCGUAGGCGGCUUGUCGCGUCGACUGUGAAAACCCGCGGCUCAACUGCGGGCCUGCAGCCGAUACGGGCAGGCUAGAGUUCGGUAGGGGAGACUGGAAUUCCUGGUGUAGCGGUGAAAUGCGCAGAUAUCUGGAGGAACACCAGUGGCGAAGGCGCCGCUCUGGGCUGUAACUGACGCUGAGAAGCGAAAGCGUGGGUAGCAAACAGG
rnacentral:rRNA from 1 species